GAUGAACGCUCGCGGGAGGCCUAACACAUGCAAUCCGAGCGGUAGAGUUCCUUCGGGAACUUGAGAGCGGCGUACGGUUGCGUAACACGUGUGCAACCUACCUUUAUCUCUGGGAUAUCCUUUCUAACUUAAGAUUAAUACCCCAUAAUAUAAUGAUUGGCAUCAAUUAUUAUUGAAAACUCCUGUUGAUCGAGAUGGACACGCGCGAGAUUAGAUAGUUGGUGAGGUAACGGCUCACGAAGUCAAUGAUCUUUAGUGGUACUGAGAGGGAGAUCACCCACGCGGGUACUGGGACACGGACCAGACGGCUACGGGAGGAAGUAGUGAGGAAGAGUGGACGAUGGAUGGAAGCCUGAUAGAGCCACUCCGCGUGAAGGAUGACGGGUCUAUGGAUUGUAAACUUCGUUUGAACAGGGAUAAACCUACUCUCGAGAGGGUAGCUGAAGGUACUGUACGAAUAAGCACCGGAUAACUCCGUG
rnacentral:rRNA from 1 species